UCAGGACGGCUACCAGACCAUGGGCAGCUCUAGCCACAAGGAGGGUGGCUUUACAAUGUUGGGGUUGUGUGGUCCAGCUUGGCUGCUGUUCACCCUCCAGAUGCCACCCAGACACUAGGUCACAAGGACUCUGAGGUUCCCCAAAGUCUGAGUGUUCUGCUCCCAGCCUACUUUUAGGUGGCGAGGACUGGGGUGUAGCAGUAGAGGGAAGCUAAAAGAAUAGGUAGUCCUGUGUCUCAUCGUGAACUGGCUUUCCGAAGAUCAUGACUAACUGCGUCCACCACGGCAUUGCGCUCUGUUCUGAGGUACCGCAAUGAGAAAGUGCCUUUGUGUAAAGCUCCCAGGAAGAGUGGCGCAUCAAUCAGAAGCAGGCACCCAAGCCACCUCAAGGUGACCAAGAAACAGAAAAUCCCGUUUGGCCAAGGGCAGGAGAACACAGAGCUCUGAGCUUUGUCAGAGUUUGCCAUGAGAAACAGCAUGGCGAGUCUACUAAAUCGAUACAGAAUUGAAUGUAGGGUCUUGAACACAUGUCUACACUCAUUCCCAUAGCUCAAGGAGGGAGAGUGAUCAGUGUCUAUGGACAGGCAAGUGGGUGAGCAAGGACGCAUCUGUGCAGGGGUAUGAUUCAGUCUCAAGGAGGAAAGAAACUGUGACACAUGCUAUCUGGAUGAAGCUGAUGACUUAAUGCUACCCAGAUUACACCAGUCACAAAAGGAAAGAGCUAUUCCUCAGCAGAUUCCUUCUCCCCUCCCUGUGCCCAGUUGUUUCAGAGAGCCUCGCAGAAGCAAACACAAGUAAGAGCAGAGGGAAGAGGGAGAAGUCACAGCCCAGAAGGACAUCUAGAGCCCAGUCAGAAUAAGAAGCCUCAAAGGAUGCUUCAGGCCUCUGUCUCCCAGCACCAGCAGGCAGCCUGAAAAUUGGGUUAGAGCAAGGGGCAAAUUAUGGCUAUUAAAAAAGACAUUGUUGUGAGCCAUGUAAAAUAUGUUCUGACUUAAACAAGACCAGCAUUUUAACAUUUAAAAACAAGGCCAGUGUAUUGAAAGGAAUCUCUCUCUACUACAAAAUUGUAAGAGGCGAUGGGGAAAAGUCACCAGGAAGAGGUGAUGGCACAAUAAAAACAAUUAGUGGGUUCCUGCAGUGCGAUGACAGAAAGGACAACUGAGGCCCCAGAGAAAUAAGAUUAGCCGGAGGGUGUAGAAUGGUGUGAUGUCCGUACCCCUCCCCCCACACUGGGAUCUGGAUAUAGACGACACCUCACUGAGGCGCCCCAUUCUUCUUAGGACUUUAA
rnacentral:sRNA from 1 species